GUUAGUAACUUUAGAAUGUACCCCUUUGACCUGGCGGGUGUGGGUGGGCGGAGGGUGUCUAUAGAUUUUUUUUAUUCAGUUUUUGCAGAAAAAAAUAAUUUAUUUUGUUUUUGACCCUGGGAAAAAAGUUUGUUUCACCUGCAACUGUCAAUGUACAUGUAAUUAUUUAACGUUAUGCUAAAAUUAAAAGAAAAAAAUGUUUUCAACUUUGAAAUUUAUACAUCAAUGAUUCUAAACUGAAAUUAAUAAUGGACAAGAACCAGAUGCUCAGUCCCAUGAAGCAUUACCUCUGGUGGCAGAACCAGGUGCUUCCCCUUUAUAAAAAGUUCUGUAUCUGCCACUGAUCCUUUAUUUGAAAUACAGAGAGUCUUUAAUUUGUUUCUUUGGAAUUUAGA
rnacentral:lncRNA from 1 species